GGGUUCCAAAGAGUUCAGCUUCUGAGCUACAUACGGGGUGCUUGGUCACCCAUAUCGCUCAGGGGAAGGUCCUCGGAUACGCACGAUAGAAAGUAUCGGCAAUCUAAUCGAUUGAACUUCCGCAAUACAACGCUUGUAUGAGAAGAUUCCUGACGGAUGAUUUGGCAAAGUUGGUUGCGAGGAGACUGAUCCUAACACAGUCAUGCUGGGAAAAUCGAGAGUGAUUUUCGAAAACACAACGUGGCCUACUCCAGAGGAACU
rnacentral:RNase_MRP_RNA from 2 species